UACGUAGGUGGCAAGCGUUGUCCGGAUUUACUGGGCGUAAAGAGCGCGCAGGCGGUCGUUCAAGUCGAGUGUGAAAGCCCCCGGCUCAACUGGGGAGGGUCACUCGAUACUGAUCGACUCGAAGGCAGAAGAGGGAAGCGGAAUUCCCGGUGUAGUGGUGAAAUGCGUAGAUAUCGGGAGGAACACCAGUGGCGAAGGCGGCUUUCUGGCCUGUUCUUGACGCUGAGGCGCGAAAGCUAGGGGAGCAAACGGG
rnacentral:rRNA from 1 species